GGGGGGUAAUGGCUCACCAAGGCAUCGACGGGUAGCUGGUCUGAGAGGAUGAUCAGCCACACUGGGACUGAGACACGGCCCAGACUCCUACGGGAGGCAGCAGUGGGGAAUCUUGCACAAUGGGCGCAAGCCUGAUGCAGCAACGCCGCGUGCGGGAAGAAGGCCUUAGGGUUGUAAACCGCUUUCAGUAGGGAAGAAAAUGACGGUACCUCCAGAAGAAGGUGCGGCCAACUACGUGCCAGCAGCCGCGGUAACACGUAGGCACCAAGCGUUAUCCGGAUUUAUUGGGCGUAAAGAGCUCGUAGGCGGUUCAGUCAGUCGGGUGUGAAAACUUGAGGCUUAACCUCAAGAGGUCACUCGAUACUACUGUGACUAGAGUGCGGUAGGGGAGCGGGGAAUUCCUGGUGUAGCGGUGAAAUGCGCAGAUAUCAGGAGGAACACCAGUGGCGAAGGCGCCGCUCUGGGCCGUAACUGACGCUGAGGAGCGAAAGCAUGGGUAGCAAACAGGAUUAGAUACCCUGGUAGUCCAUGCCGUAAACGUUGGGCACUAGGUGUGGGUCUCAACCAACGAGAUCCGCGCCGUCGCUAACGCAUUAAGUG
rnacentral:rRNA from 1 species